CUCCUUUUGAUUCUAGAAUUUAAGCCUCAGGACAAUGUCUACGAUGAUGUGGCAGUGGAGAGGAAAGAUUACAAAGAAAAAGAGGAGAAAGGGAGACACUGGAAACCAAAAUGUCUGAUGAUGAAAGGAAAUAAAGGCAAAAUUCCUGAGGAACCAGAAAGACUCCUCUUCAGAAACAAGAAACCCAACCUGGAAAAGCACAAG